rnacentral:pre_miRNA from 1 species
AGUAGAAUUGCUGGGUUAUAUGGUAAUUCUAUGUUUAACUUUUUGAGGAACUACUUAACUGUUUUCCAUAGUGACUACACCAUUUUACAUUCCCACCAGCAAU